rnacentral:lncRNA from 1 species
GACAUCCUCCACUAUUACCCGUUGGCAAAGACGUAAUUGGCCCGGUUGGCCCAAUUGUAGUCGGACGGUGACCGUGUGAGCCUCAGAAUUAUCCCACCUCGCUUAACUUGGGAGGAGGAAGCCACUUUAAAAGGGAGAGCCACCCUUCCCCCAUUGGACUAGUCUUUUGGGGCGAUUGGGCCUUUCCCUGAGUUGGGUGUGCUUAAUGAACUAUUGGGCUCCGGGCAACCCUAAUUUGUUGGGCCUCGGCCAACCCCACCUGGGCUGGGUGUAUCAUCUGGUAUCAAAGCUAGGGCCCAUUUUAAGAAGGUGGGAAUGAUGAGGACAUCCUCCACUAUUACCCGUUGGCAAAGACACAAUUGGCCCAGUUGGCCCAAUUGUAGUCGGACGGUGACUGUGUGAGCCUCAGAAUUAUCCCACCUCGCAUAACUUGGGAGGAGGAAGCCACUUUAAAAGGGAGAGCCACCCUUCCCCCAUUGGACUAGUCUUUUGGGGUGAUUGGGCCUUUCCCUGAGUUGGGUGUGCAUAAAGAACUGUUGGGCUCCAGGCAACCCUAAUUUGUUGGGCCUCGGCCAACCCCACCUGGGCUGGGUGUAUCAUCUCGGCUUUGUUCCCCUUUCUUAUAGACGUGAUCUUCAAAAAAAAUUGCAAUACUUAGAUCAGGGAGACAUGUCGGUACAGGAAUACUACCAAGAGCUUCAGAAAGGUAUGCUACGAUGUGGGGUAUUUGAGGAUCCAGAGGAUCAAAUGGUUAGGUUUUAUGGGGGAUUGAGGCGGGAGAUUCAGGAUAUUGUUGAUUAUAAAGAAUAUCAUUCUAUACAACGCUUGUUCCAUCUUUCUAUGUUGACAGAAAAAGAAUUACAGGGUCGUCAACAGCGGAGGAGCAGCACUUUCGCUCCACGCCAGCCACCGGCGCUAGCCAAGGCGUCAUCAUCUUCGGGCGUACGAACGUCCACAUCUUCCGCUGUGCCUUCGGGUGUUGCAGCAGAACCUGCUACGACCACCUCUUCCACAGGACGCUCCUCUGACAUCAAGUGCCACCGCUGCCAGGGACUUGGCCAUAUUCAGCGAGAUUGCCCCAGCAAACGGGCAUACAUUGCUACUGGUGAUGGUGGGCAUGUUAGUGCUUCUGAUGUUGAAGAUGAAGAUACUGUUGGAGCUAACAUUGCAGAGACUUAUGAUGGUGAUGAAGAGGUUCUUGGUACAACAGCGACCGAGACCUAUAAGGCCUUGAUUGUGCAACGAGCUUUGAGUACCACGGCUAGUGACGACGACAACAGACAACACCACAACCUCUUCAACAUGUUCCUCAUCGUCAAGGACUGCCGUGUACAUACCAUCAUUGACGGUGGUAGCUGCAACAACUUGGUGAAUGUUGAGGUGGUCAAGAAGCUUGGCUUGACCACACGAGAGCAUCCCCACCCUUAUCAUAUUCAAUGGUUUAACAACAGCGGUAAGUUCAAGGUAACAAAAAUAGCAAGGGUGCAUUUUUCUAUUGGCUCUUACCAUGACUUUGCUGAUUUCGAUGUGGUGACUAUGGAUGCUUGCUCUCUUUUACUGGGACGUCCUUGGGAGUUUGAUACUGAUGCUAUUCACCAUGGUAGAUCUAAUAAAUAUACUUUCAUGCAUAAGGGAAAGAAAAUUGUGUUGCUUCCUAUGACUCCCACUAAAAUUGUCCACUUUGAACAUGAGAAAAAGACUAAUGCUAAGCAAAAAGGUGUUUUGAACUCUGAAAAUCAGCAACCUAUUAAGUUAAAAACUCCUACUUUGCUAGCCACUAAAUCUGAUCUUGAUGAGUUACAUGCCUCUGUUGGACUUUGCUAUGCCUUAGUGUGCAAAAAUGCUUUCUAUUCCAUUGAUGAUACGUCUAUUGCUUUGCCACCUGCUAUUGCUAACCUUUUGCAAGAGUAUAUGGAUGUGUUUCCCUCUGAGAUACCCCCUGGAUUGCCACCUGUGCGAGGCAUUGAGCACAAGAUUGAUUUAAUUCCAGGGGCGAGCUUGCCCAACCGUGCUGCCUACAGGACCAACCCCGAGGAGACUAAGGAGAUUCAGCGCUAGGUCUAGGACCUUCUGGACUGCGGGUACAUUCGUGAGAGCCUUAGUCCUUGUUCUGUUCCUGUUCUUUUGGUUCCUAAGAAAGAUGGCACUUGGCGCAUGUGUGUUGAUUGUAGAGCCAUUAAUAACAUCACAAUUCGGUACAUGUAUCAUAUUCCUAGAUUGGAUGACAUGCUUGAUGAAUGAAGUGGUUCUAUUGUUUUCUCUAAAAUUGACUUGCGUAGUGGAUACCACCAGAUUCGUAUGUCUUUAGGUGAUGAAUGGAAAACUGCAUUUAAAACUAAGUUCGGUCUUUAUGAGUGGUUAGUCAUGCCUUUUGGGUUAACUAAUGCGCCUAGCACUUUCAUGAGAUUGAUGAACGAGGUUUUACGUGCUUUCAUUGGUAAAUUUGUGGUGGUAUAUUUUGAUGAUAUUCUUAUCUAUAGUAAGUCUCAUGAUGAUCAUAUUGAACAUUUACGUGCUGUUUUUGAUGUUUUGCGUGAUGCACGUUUAUUUGGUAACCUUGAGACAUGCACCUUCAGCACCGAUCGUGUGUCUUUUCUUGGAUAUGUUGUGACAUCGCAGGGCAUUGAGAUGGAUGAGGCAAAAAUUGUUACCAUCAUGAGCUGGCCACUUCCAACCACGGUCACACAGGUUCGAAGUUUUCUUGGUCUUGCAGGAUUCUACAGGCGAUUUGUGCGGGAUUUUCAGCACCAUUGCAGCACCUCUCCACGAGUUGACAAAGAAUGGAGUGCCGUUUCGUUGGGGACCAUCACAACAACAAGCUUUUGAUGCCCUCAAGUCGAAGCUCACACAAGCACUAAUGCUGUAACUUCCUGAUUUUGAUAAGACAUUCGAGCUCGAGUGUGAUGCGAGCGGCAUUGGGAUUGGAGGAGUGCUCAUUCAAGGAGGUAAACCUGUUGCUUUCUUUAGUGAAAAAUUGCAUGGUCCAACUCUGAAUUAUUCUACAUAUGACAAAGAAUUAUAUGCUUUAGUACAAGUUUUACAAACUUGGCAACAUUAUCUAUGGUCUAAAGAGUUUGUCAUACAUUCGGAUCAUGAAUCUUUGAAGUAUCUUAAGGGACAAUCUAAUCUAAACAAACGACAUGCUAAAUGGAUUGAAUUCAUAGAAUCAUUUCCUUACAUUAUUAAGCAUAAAAAAGGAAAGGAUAAUGUGAUUACUGAUGCUUUAUCUAGACGUUAUACUAUGCUGUCCCAACUUAAUCAUAAAAUAUUUGGUUUGGAGACUAUAAAGGAAUUAUAUGCUGCUGAUUUGGACUUCAAAGAUGCUUUUGAAAAUUGCAGAGAGGGAAGAACAAGGCAAAAAUUAUGCUGCAUGAAGGCCUUCUCUACCGUGCUAACAAGUUGUGUGUUCCAGCUAGCUCCGUUCGUCUUCUACUCUUGCAGGAAGCACAUGGAGGUGACUUGAUGGGACAUUUUGGUGUUAAGAAGACCGAGGAUGUGUUGUUUACUCAUUUCUAUUGGCCUCGGAUGCGAUGUGAUGUUGAGCGCUACGUCUCUCGUUGCACCACGUGCAAAAAAGCUAAGUCCCGACUUAACCCCCAUGGUCUUUAUUUGCCUCUUCAUGUUCCUUGUGCACCUUGGGAGGAUAUUUCUAUGGAUUUUGUUUUGGGAUUGCCUAGAACAAAGAGGGGGAGUGAUUGUGUUUUUGUCGUUGUCGAUCGUUUUUCAAAGAUGGCACAUUUUAUACCCUGUCACAAAACUGAUAAUGCUUCACAUGUUGCUGAUUUGUUCUUUACUGAGAUUGUGCGUUUGCAUGGUGUGCCAAAUACUAUUGUUUCUGAUAGGGAUGCUAAGUUUUUAAGUCAUUUUUGGAGAACCUUGUGGUUUAAAUUGGGAACAAAGUUGUUGUUUUCUACUACUUGUCAUCCCCAAACUGACGGGAAAACAGAGGUUGUUAAUCGCACUUUAUCUACCAUGUUGUGGGCUAUUUUGAAGGAUAAUUUGAGGUUGUGGGAGGAAUGUUUGCCACAUAUUGAGUUUGCUUAUAACAGAUCGAUUCAUUCCACAACCAAGCUUAGUCCAUUUAUGGUAGUAUAUGGUUUUAAUCCUCGUGCUCCAAUUGAUUUGCUACCUUUACCACCUUCUGAAAUAGUGAACUUGGGUGCUACACAACGUUCUAAAUUCAUUCUUAAGUUACAUGAAACAACUAAGUUGCAAAUUGAAAAGAUGAAUGAAAAGUAUCGUAUUGCUGCUAAUAAAGGUAGGAAGGAAAUGAAAAUGGAACCUGGUGACUUGGUGUGGGUUCAUUUGAGAAAGGAUAGGUUUCCUGAUUUGAGAAAGUCUAAACUUAUGCCACAAGCUGCAGGUCCUUAUAAAGUUCUUGCAAAAAUUAAUGAUAAUGCAUAUACACUUGAGUUGCCGCCAGAUUUUUGGGUUAGUCCCACCUUUAACAUUUCAGAUUUGAAGCCAUAUAUGGGUGACGAAGAUGAGAUCAAGUCGAGGACGACUCCAAUUCAAGAGGAGGAGGAUGAUGAGGACAUCAUUUCUAUACAUACAAUGAAUGGACCGAUAACACGAUCGCGUGCACGACAGCUAAAUCUCCAGGUACGUUCUACCCUAGUCAAUUGUGUUUCAGAGCUUACGCUUGGGGCCAUGGAUGUUUUGAUGAUUAGGAACCUUGGAGACGACCAGCAAGGACUUGGGAAAGGCCUAGGUGUUGAGGACGAGCAGCAAGGGCGCCCACAACAGGAAGGAGAUCAAGUCUGACUCGGCUGCGACUCCAUCUCGGGUUCCAGGACCAGUCUGCACUAAAAUUAACGCCCAAGAUGCAUCCGGACUCUGAUUGCAACGUACUUGAUAUGGUUGGAAAGAUAAGGAGAUUAUCUAACCAACCCAACUUGUUCCGUCCUAAAAUUCGUCUGGAGUCAACGGGAAUCGUCGAAACAAGUCAGCGUUCAGAUUCUAUUUUGGUGUUGCGACACCGUCUGUUGGCCCGUUGGGCCGUGUAUCGCGUCAGAGCCCAUUAGGGGCGAGUCCAGGGGUCACGCACGCCCUAAUACUCUAUUUAUUCAGCAGCCGCCGCCACAUUAGGUUUGGGUUUUUCUUAGAUCAAUUCUAUCAUCGAACAGUGUCGCCGUCAUCGGUUUGUGAGACCCCAUCCCGUAAUCAAUACAAUUUUGGUUGCGUUUCUUUCCUGUUCUUGCUUGUGUUCUUGAUUGCGCUUGCAGGGAUAAUCCUUCGUGGCGAGGUCAUUCGUGUGUCACGGGUGAUAACCAACGGAGCCGUGGUGUAGUGAUUGCGAGGAACCGUUCGCUCGGAGCCUUGAAUCAUCAACGUCGAGAUCUCCACUCAAUCAAGUUAUUGUAUCUCACGGAAGAUCGGACCACGUCUACUAUCAUCUGGUAUCAGAGCUAGGGCCCAUUUUAAGAAGGUGGGAAUGAUGAGGACAUCCUCCACUAUUACCCAUUGGCAAAGACGCAAUUGGCCCAGUUGGCCCAAUUGUAGUCGGACGGUGACCGUGUGAGCCUCAGAAUUAUCCCACCUCGCUUAACUUGUGAGGAGGAAGCCACUUUAAAAGGGAGAGCCG